rnacentral:piRNA from 1 species
CAGAAAGUAGAUUAGUGGUUGCCUAGGGCU